rnacentral:rRNA from 1 species
CACCUUUUGAUUAUUAUAAAAGGCAACGCCUGCCCAGUGACUUUGUUCAACGGCCGCGGUAUUUUAACCGUGCGAAGGUAGCGUAAUCACUUGUUUUUUAAAUAAAGACCUGUAUGAACGGCAUCACGAGAACUAAACUGUCUCCCCCCUCUAAUCAGUGAAACUGAUCUCCCCGUGCAGAAGCGGGGAUGAAAUCAUAAGACGAGAAGACCCUGUGGAGCUUAAAAUCAAAAACUAACUGCCCAACUUAGUACCAAGAAACACUCACGCAGUCAUGGUUUAGGUUUUUAGCUGGGGCGACUGCGGAGUAAAAAACACCCUCCGCGAAGAAUCAUGCCAAGAAUAACCCUUCUAAGCAUUAAUACAUUUUACUUAAUUGACCCAAUUUUUGAUCAACGGACCAAGUUACCCCAGGGAUAACAGCGCAAUCCACUUUUAGAGUCCCUAUCGACAAGUGGGCUUACGACCUCGAUGUUGGAUCAGGGCACCCCAGUGGUGCAGCCAUUACUAAAGGUUCGUUUGUUCAACGAUUAAAGCCCU